rnacentral:rRNA from 1 species
AUUGAUCCCGUCGGACCUUACUGCUAUCGAGAUGGGACUAACCCAGGCCAGUCGAACGACCCGGACUAUGGCGGGGAGUGGCGCACUGCUCAGUAACACGUAGCUAACCUAACCUCAAGACGGAAAUAACCUCGGGAAACUGGGGUCAAUGUCCGAUAGAUGUGAAUUCCUGGAAUGGUAUCACAUCCAAACGUCAACACACCAUGUUGUGCGAACGCUUGAGGAUGGGGCUGCGGCCGAUCAGGCUGUUGGUGGGGUAAUGGCCCACCAAACCUUUGACCGGUAUGGGCCAUGAGAGUGGUAGCCCAGAGAUGGACACUGAGACAAGGGUCCAGGCCCUACGGGGCGCAGCCGGUACGAGACCUCCACAAUGCACGCAAGUGCGAUGGGGUUAUCUCGAGUGCUAUCUGAAAAAGGUAGCUUUUCCAUGGUCUAAAUAGCCGUGGGAAUAAGGGGGGGGCAAGACUGGUGUCAGCCGCCGCGGUAACACCAGCCCCCCGAGUGGUAGGGAUGUUUAUUUGGCCUAAAGCGUCCGUAGCCGGCUAAGUAAAUUUCUCGUUAAAUCCAACGUCCUAGGCGUUGGGCUGCGAGAAAGACUGCUUAGCUAGAGGGUGGGAGAGGUCAGCGGUAUUCCUGGGGUAGGGGCGAAAUCCAUUGAACCCAGGAGGACCACCAGUGGCGAAGGCUGCUGACUAGAACACGCCUGACGGUGAGGGACGAAAGCUGGGGUAGCGAAUCGGAUUAGAUACCCGAGUAGUCCCAGCCGUAAACGAUGCAGACUAGGUGUUGGGUUGGCCACGCGCCGACUCAGUGCCACAGGGAAGCCAUUAAGUCUGCCGCCUGGGAAGUACGGCCGCAAGGCUGAAACUUAAAGGAAUUGGCGGGGGAGCACCACCAGGCGUGAAGCCUGCGGUUUAAUUGGAGUCAACGCCGGGGACCUUACCGGGAGCGACAGCAGAGUGAAGGCCAGGCUAAAGGUCUUGCCAGACGAGCUGAGAGGAGGUGCAUGGCCGUCGCCAGUUCGUGCCGUGAGGUGUCCUCUUAAGUGAGGUAACGAACGAGACCCGCGCCGCAUGUUGCUAACAAGUCCUAAAGGGAUGUUGAGCACUUUUGCGGGACCGCAGCCGACAAGGCUGAGGAAGGUGCGGGCAACGGCAGGUCAGUAUGCCCCGAAUCUCCCGGGCCACACGCGGGCUGCAAUGGUAGAGACAGAGGGCUGCAACCCCGAAAGGGGAAGCCAAUCCCUAAACUCUACCUCAGUUGGGAUUGAGGGCUGCAACCCGCCCUCAUGAACAUGGAAUGCCUAGUAACUGCCAGUCAUCAUCUGGCGGUGAAUACGUCCCUGCUCCUUGCACACACUGCCCGUCGAACCACCCGAAUGAGGUUGGGGUGAGGCAUGAUCGAAUGUUGGUCGUGUCGAACCUGGGCCUCGUAAGGAGGGUUAAGUCGUAACAAGGUG